rnacentral:rRNA from 1 species
UACCAGCACCCCGAGUGGUCGGGACGAUUAUUGGGCCUAAAGCAUCCGUAGCCGGUUCUACAAGUCUUCCGUUAAAUCCACCUGCUUAACAGAUGGGCUGCGGAGGAUACUAUAGAGCUAGGAGGCGGGAGAGGCAAGCGGUACUUAGUGGGUAGGGGUAAAAAUCCGUUGAUCCAUUGAAGACCACCAGUGGCGAAGGCGGCUUGCCAGAACGCACUCGACGGUGAGGGAUGAAAGCUGGGGGGAGCAAACCGG